GAUGAACGCUAGCUACAGCCUUAACACAUGCAAGUCGAGGGGAAACGGCAUUGAGUGCUUGCACUCUUUGGACGUCGACCGGCGCACGGGUGAGUAACGCGUAUCCAACCUUCCCAUUACUGUGGGAUAACCUGCCGAAAGGCAGACUAAUACCGCAUAGUCUUCGAUGACGGCAUCAGAUUUGAAGUAAAAGAUUUAUCGGUAAGGAUGGGGAUGCGUCUGAUUAGCUUGUUGGCGGGGUAACGGCCCACCAAGGCAACGAUCAGUAGGGGUUCUGAGAGGAAGGUCCCCCACAUUGGAACUGAGACACGGUCCAAACUCCUACGGGAGGCAGCAGUGAGGAAUAUUGGUCAAUGGACGGAAGUCUGAACCAGCCAAGUAGCGUGCAGGAUGACGGCCCUAUGGGUUGUAAACUGCUUUUGUAUGGGGAUAAAGUUAGGGACGUGUCCCUAUUUGCAGGUACCAUACGAAUAAGGACCGGCUAAUUCCGUGCCAGCAGCCGCGGUAAUACGGAAGGUCCAGGCGUUAUCCGGAUUUAUUGGGUUUAAAGGGAGCGUAGGCUGGAGAUUAAGUGUGUUGUGAAAUGUAGACGCUCAACGUCUGACUUGCAGCGCAUACUGGUUUCCUUGAGUACGCACAACGUUGGCGGAAUUCGUCGUGUAGCGGUGAAAUGCUUAGAUAUGACGAAGAACUCCGAUUGCGAAGGCAGCUGACGGGAGCGCAACUGACGCUUAAGCUCGAAGGUGCGGGUAUCAAACAGG
rnacentral:rRNA from 1 species